rnacentral:rRNA from 1 species
CCUAGGGUGGCAGCAGUGGGGAAUAUUGGACAAUGGGCGAAAGCCUGAUCCAGCCAUGCCGCGUGUGUGAAGAAGGCCUUCGGGUUGUAAAGCACUUUCAGUGGGGAAGAAAGCCUUGGGGCUAAUACCCUCGAGGAAGGACAUCACCCACAGAAGAAGCACCGGCUAACUCCGUGCCAGCAGCCGCGGUAAUACGGAGGGUGCGAGCGUUAAUCGGAAUUACUGGGCGUAAAGCGCGCGUAGGCGGUCUGAUAAGCCGGUUGUGAAAGCCCCGGGCUCAACCUGGGAAAGGCAUCCGGAACUGUCAGGCUAAGGUGCAGGAGAGGGAGGUAGAAUUCCCGGUGUAGCGGUGAAAUGCGUAGAGAGCGGGAGGAAUACCAGUGGCAAGGCGGCCUUCUGGACUGACACUGACGCUGAGGUGCGAAAGCGUGGGUAGCAAACAGGAUUAGAUACCCCGGUAGUC